UCCAGGUGUGUGUGGUAAAAUGUUUUUAUUUUUAAACUUGAGUAGCAAGACUUUAAAUAGUCACCGAGUUACUUAUUAGAGCGGGAAUGAGUGAGAAUGAUUUGCGCGGUGAGGACGUAAGUUGUAGGCAUCUGACUGCCUUUGAAAAACGAUUCAGCAGAGUGUUCUGAAAAUGACAUAAAUUAUAAGAAUGUUCCUUAGCGACAUAGAGGAAGGGGAAACCUAGUCAGUGAUGAUAUUGUAUGCAUUGGAUAAGGUGCAACUCUUUUCAGUGCUUUGUUUCAUCUAACAAUAGAAUGGUUUUCCUACCAUUAUUCAAAUCAACGUUUUAAGCUUUCGAGAAGCAAGCUCAUUUCUACUGAAUCUGCCAAUCAAGUUAACCUGAAAGCUUAUAUUUGGAAUUGUGGCUUCCUUGUUAACGACAGUAAAAGUAUUUCGUUGAAAAACUGCGAACGUGUUUACAACUGAAGGAAGGAGCUGCCUUAUAUAACCUAUACAGGUUAAGGCUACAAAAAGAAGUAUUGGAGAAGGCAGUCAAAUCAUAUCUGAAGUCUCAGUGGUGUUUGCUAGUAUUGAAUGUAUCGAACGAUGCUUUUUUAUCGUACAAGUACAGAAGGUCUUCUUAUGUAUUUCGUCUUCAUGGUUUCACAUGUAAGGUUUAGAAACUAGUAAGGCAAGUCUGUCCUGAAUGCGAUUAACAUUUUUUUUGGCUCUUAAAGGUAAAUCUGCAAAUCUUCAGAGGCCCAUUUUUUUAAAAUUUAGAUAGCUGGUUAUAUAUCUUUGGUGCUACAGUAUUUGGUAGUCGAGGAGAGCUCUUGUACUGGCAACUAUGUUAUGGCUAUUUUUGCCUUAGAAACACAUUAAUUGUGUUGAUAACAUUAAAGGACUACAGCAAACAGAAAUGUCAAAGUAGCAUUCAGAUUAACUGAUUCCCAAUUUACGCGAAUUGCGUAUUGAUGUCAAGAGUGUGGCAAAUUGCCACUUUAUGAUGGAUUGUCGGCUGUCGUUUGAAGUCAAAGGCAUCGAAAGGGUUCCAAAAAUAAAUUUUAAUGCUUCCCGUAAAAGCAAGUGUAAGAAUAUUCAUGUGCCUGAGUACAAAAUCCCCUCGCCUACGAACGACUGUUUACAUAGCCAAAUGUAAACAAUCUUACCGACGGCAAAAUAUCUUCAGCCGGUCUUAAAAAGGUGAAUUGAUGUUUGGAUUUCAUCCGUUUAUUACAACAAUUAAAGUAAUGGUUGUUUGUG